AGCGCGGUGAUUGGGCGGUGCCGCGAAGGGCGCCCCGGCGGCGGCGGCCACGUGGGGCACCGGGACCGGGCACCGGGACCGGGCACCGGGACCGGGCACCGGGACCGGGCACCGGGACCGGGCACCGGGACCGGGCACCGGGACCGGGCACCGCGUCGCUGCCGUCCCCGCCGCACCGGGACCUCCCGCAGGAGCCGGCGCUGCUCGGUGCGGCGGGGCCGCUGCCGGUAACGGGCGGUUCGGAGCGGGCGGAGCCGCUGCAGCGACCCCCGGCCCGCACCCCAAAUUGUGGCGGUUUUAAACUAUUUUUAACUGUUUGUUUCCCAUCGCGCUCCCCAAUGAAACGGCCCCGGUAGCACCGGGACCCCGGCGCCCGGUUCCCUCGGGGCUGGCACGGCCGGACCCAAACCCGCAGGAAUUAAAAAGCAAUACAAAUAACUAACUAAGCAAACGGGCAGAACGAAGGUGCGGCUGAAUAAUUACGGGCAGGUGGAACCUCCUGCGCUUGUGCCCGUUGCUGGUCAUUCUGUCACCGGGUCCUGUCACCUCGCCCGGACCCGUCCCAGCCGCUCCAGCCGGGGCAGCAAAGCAGAUGGAAGUCGCUUGGGUUGAAAUGGGGUGAAAUUCGCUCUCGUACAGCUCAGCCGGCUGGACUCGAUGAUCCUGAGGGUCUGUUCCAACCAAAAUGAUUGUAAUCCGCAGCGGGGAGGAGCCUGGCAGAGCUGCAGGUCCCUGUAAAAGAGAAAUCAAUGAGCGAACAUCAACCCAGCGCAGCACCGCGUCCUCUUUGGCUCCACGUUUUGGCACACGCGUGUUUUCCCCACACGUUUUCACUUGAACGUGAAUAAUUAUAACCCUAAAGCACAAAUUUAGCUCUUCUGUAAUAAAAGGAAAACCCUGAAAGAGCCCAAGAGUAAAGACCCCGGCAUUUGGGGCAGCAAACAAUGUCUGUCCAGACGCUGCAUUCCACUUACGCUAUGUAAAAUUUUAGCCUGAAUUCUGGUAUUUUGGGGAGUAAAGCAGAUUUACAAGCGCUUGCCCAGCUCAUUCCGCA